rnacentral:rRNA from 1 species
UACGUAGGGGGCAAGCGUUGUCCGGAUUUAUUGGGCGUAAAGAGCGUGUAGGCGGCCAGGUAGGUCUGCUGUGAAAACUCGAGGCUCAACCUCGAGACGUCGGCGGAAACCAUCUGGCUAGAGUCCGGAAGAGGAGAGUGGAAUUCCUGGUGUAGCGGUGAAAUGCGUAGAGAUCGGGAGGAACACCUGUGGCGAAGGCGGCCCCCUGGGCCGGCCCUGACACUGAGACGCGAAGGCGUGGGGGAGCGAACGGG